rnacentral:rRNA from 1 species
CGAACGGGUGAGUAACGCGUGAGGAACCUGCCUCAAAGAGGGGGACAACAGUUGGAAACGACUGCUAAUACCGCAUAAGCCCACGGCUCGGCAUCGAGCAGAGGGAAAAGGAGCAAUCCGCUUUGAGAUGGCCUCGCGUCCGAUUAGCUAGUUGGUGAGGUAACGGCCCACCAAGGCGACGAUCGGUAGCCGGACUGGGAGGUUGAACGGCCACAUUGGGGCUGAGACACGGCCCAA